GUGGGGAAUAUUGGACAAUGGGCGCAAGCCUGAUCCAGCCAUGCCGCGUGAGUGAUGAAGGCCUUAGGGUUGUAAAGCUCUUUCACCGAUGAAGAUAAUGACGGUAGUCGGAGAAGAAGCCCCGGCUAACUUCGUGCCAGCAGCCGCGGUAAUACGAAGGGGGCUAGCGUUGUUCGGAAUUACUGGGCGUAAAGCGCACGUAGGCGGAUAUUUAAGUCAGGGGUGAAAUCCUGGAGCUCAACUCCAGAACUGCCUUCGAUACUGGCGAUCUUGAGUCCGGAAGAGGUGAGUGGAACUCCUAGUGUAGAGGUGGAAUUCGUAGAUAUUAGGAAGAACACCAGUGGCGAAGGCGGCUCACUGGUCCGGUACUGACGCUGAGGUGCGAAAGCGUGGGGAGCAAACAGGAUUAGAAACCCGUGUAGUCC
rnacentral:rRNA from 1 species